rnacentral:lncRNA from 1 species
UGUUGUUGUUGUUGUCGUUGUCGUUGUUGUUGUUGUUGUUGUUGUUGUUGUUGUUGUUGUUGUCGUUGUUGUUGUUGUCGUUGUUGUUGUUGUUGUUGUUGUCGUUGUUGUUGUUGUCGUUGUUGUUGUUGUUGUUGUUGUUGUUGUUCUUGUUGUUGUUCUUGUUGUUGUUGUUGUUGUUGUUGUUGUUCUUGUUCUUGUUCUUGUU